rnacentral:rRNA from 1 species
AACGAACGCUGGCGGCAUGCCUAACACAUGCAAGUCGAACGAGACCUUCGGGUCUAGUGGCGCACGGGUGCGUAACGCGUGGGAAUCUGCCCUUAGGUUCGGAAUAACUUUGGGAAACUGAAGCUAAUACCGGAUGAUGACGUAAGUCCAAAGAUUUAUCGCCUAAGGAUGAGCCCGCGUUGGAUUAGCUAGUUGGUGAGGUAAAGGCUCACCAAGGCGACGAUCCAUAGCUGGUCUGAGAGGAUGAUCAGCCACACUGGGACUGAGACACGGCCCAGACUCCUACGGGAGGCAGCAGUGGGGAAUAUUGGACAAUGGGCGAAAGCCUGAUCCAGCAAUGCCGCGUGAGUGAUGAAGGCCUUAGGGUUGUAAAGCUCUUUACCCGGGAUGAUAAUGACAGUACCGGGAGAAUAAGCUCCGGCUAACUACCGUGCCAGCAGCCGCGGUAAAGUGACUACUG